rnacentral:rRNA from 1 species
UCGAGGAUCUUCGGCAAUGGGCGCAAGCCUGACCGAGCGACGCCGCGUGUGCGAAGAAGGCCUUCGGGUUGUAAAGCACUGUCGAGGGGGAGGAAGCCGCAAGGUUGACCUAUCCCUGGAGGAAGCACGGGCUAAGUUCGUGCCAGCAGCCGCGGUAAGACGAACCGUGCGAACGUUGUUCGGAAUCACUGGGCUUAAAGGGCGCGUAGGCGGGUCGGCAAGUCCGGGGUGAAAUCCUCCAGCUCAACUGGAGAAGUGCCUUGGAUACUGCCGGUCUCGAGGGAGGUAGGGGUAUGUGGAACUUCUGGUGGAGCGGUGAAAUGCGUUGAUAUCAGAAGGAACGCCGGUGGCGAAAGCGACGUACUGGACCUCUUCUGACGCUGAGGCGCGAAAGCUAGGGGAGCAAACGGGAUUAGAUACCCGGGUAGUCC